rnacentral:rRNA from 1 species
GUCGAACGGUAACAGGUCUUCGGAUGCUGACGAGUGGCGAACGGGUGAGUAAUACAUCGGAACGUGCCCGAUCGUGGGGGAUAACGCAGCGAAAGCUGUGCUAAUACCGCAUACGAUCUACGGAUGAAAGCGGGGGAUCGCAAGACCUCGCGCGGACGGAGCGGCCGAUGGCAGAUUAGGUAGUUGGUGGGGUAAAGGCUCACCAAGCCUUCGAUCUGUAGCUGGUCUGAGAGGACGACCAGCCACACUGGGACUGAGACACGGCCCAGACUCCUACGGGAGGCAGCAGUGGGGAAUUUUGGACAAUGGGCGCAAGCCUGAUCCAGCCAUGCCGCGUGCAGGAUGAAGGCCUUCGGGUUGUAAACUGCUUUUGUACGGAACGAAAAGGUCUUUUUUAAUAAAGAGGGCCCAUGACGGUACCGUAAGAAUAAGCACCGGCUAACUACGUGCCAGCAGCCGCGGUAAUACGUAGGGUGCAAGCGUUAAUCGGAAUUACUGGGCGUAAAGCGUGCGCAGGCGGUAAUGUAAGACAGAUGUGAAAUCCCCGGGCUCAACCUGGGAACUACAUUUGUGACUGCAUUGCUGGAGUGCGGCAGAGGGGGAUGGAAUUCCGCGUGUAGCAGUGAAAUGCGUAGAUAUGCGGAGGAACACCGAUGGCGAAGGCAAUCCCCUGGGCCUGCACUGACGCUCAUGCACGAAAGCGUGGGGAGCAAACAGGAUUAGAUACCCUGGUAGUCCACGCCSUAAACGAUGUCAACURGYYGUUGGRWSYUCAUUGAGCUYUUAGURRCGMAGCUAACGCRUUAAGUUGACCGCCUGGGGA